rnacentral:rRNA from 1 species
UACGGAGGGUGCAAGCGUUGUUCGGAAUUACUGGGCGUAAAGGGUGCGCAGGCGGUAUGCUAAGUCAACUGUUAAAUCUCCCGGCCUAACCGGGAAUCAGCAGUAGAUACUGGUGUGCUAGAGGAUGGAAGAGAGAAGUGGAAUUCUUGGAGUAGCGGUAAAAUGCGUAGAUCUCAAGAGGAACACCGAUGGCGAAGGCAGCUUCUUGGUCCAUAUCUGACGCUCAUGCACGAAAGCGUGGGGAGCAAACAGG